UACGAAGGUCCCAAGCGUUAUCCGGAUUUAUUGGGUUUAAAGGGUGCGUAGGCGGCUUAUUAAGUCAGUGGUGAAAUCCCAAAGCUUAACUUUGGAACUGCGUCGGAUACUGGAUGGCUUGAAUUCGGGAGAGGGAUGCAGAAUUCCAGGUGUAGCGGUGAAAUGCGUAGAUAUCGGGAGGAACACCAGUGGCGAAGGCGGCACUCUGGGCCGGAACUGACGCUGAGGAGCGAAAGCGUGGGGAGCGAACAGG
rnacentral:rRNA from 1 species